UACAGAGGGUGCGAGCGUUAAUCGGAAUUACUGGGCGUAAAGCGUGCGUAGACGGUCAAGUAAGUCGGGUGUGAAAGCCCCGGGCUCAACCUGGGAAUUGCAUUCGAGACUGCGUGGCUAGGGUGCGGAAGAGGGAAGCGGAACUUCCGGUGUAGCGGUGAAAUGCGUAGAUAUCGGAAGGAACACCAGUGGCGAAAGCGGCUUCCUGGUCCAGCACCGACGUUCAGGCACGAAAGCGUGGGGAGCAAACAGG
rnacentral:rRNA from 1 species